rnacentral:rRNA from 1 species
AUGGCGUCCCGUCGGGCCGUCCUCGCCUUGGUCGUCGCUGUCGCGGCGUCGGCGGCGUCCGUUGCAGCCGACGAUCCGGACUACAGCUACGUGUCGGGGACCAAGCUGGGCCCGGAGAACUGGGCCAAGCUGAGCCCCAAGUACAGCGCAUGCAACGGCGGCGCCGCGGCGAGGAAGCAGUCCCCCAUCGACAUCGUCACCAAGAGCGCCGUCCCCAAGCCCGACCUCGACCCCCUCACCCGCACCUACGUCGCCACCGACGCCACCCUCAUCAACAACGGCAAAGAAAUCUCGAUGACGUUCAACGGCAAGCCUGGCAGCGUGUCCAUCGGCGGCAAGGCCUUCAGCCUCAAGAAGCUCCGGUGGAAGACGCCCUCCGAGCACACCAUCAACGGCAAGAGGCACCCGGUCGAGGUCCAGCUCGUCCACGAGAGCGACGCCGGCUCCGGCGAGCUCGCCAUCAUCGCCAUCCUCUACAAGCUCGGCGCCCCGGACUCCUUCUACUACCAGCUCAAGCGGAAGCUGGCGGAGCUGGCGGCCGACCGGUGCAGCUACGGCGAGCAGGACGCGCGCGUGGCGACCGGGCUGGUGCACCUGCGCUCGCUGGAGAAGCGGACGGGGAGCUACUUCCGGUACAUGGGCUCCCUCACGGCGCCACCGUGCGCCGAGAACGUCUACUGGAACGUCCUGGGCAAGGUGAGGCAGAUGACCAAGGAGCAGAUCGACCUCGUCACCGCGCCGCUGCCGGCCGCCGCCAAGCAGAACGCCCGGCCGGUGCAGCCGCUCAACGGCAGGGUCGUCACCUUCUACAACCCGCCCAACAGCACCAUCUCCUUCGACAUGUGA